rnacentral:rRNA from 1 species
UACGUAGGGGGCAAGCGUUGUCCGGAUUUAUUGGGCGUAAAGAGCUUGUAGGUGGCUCGUUGCGUCGGGAGUGAAAACCUGCGGCUUAACCGCAGGCCUGCUUCCGAUACGGGCGAGCUAGAGUUCGGCAGGGGAGACUGGAAUUCCUGGUGUAGCGGUGGAAUGCGCAGAUAUCAGGAGGAACACCGGUGGCGAAGGCGGGUCUCUGGGCCGAUACUGACACUGAGAAGCGAAAGCGUGGGGAGCGAACAGG